GUCAGCAUGGUGUAGUGGUUUGAGCAUUUAGGACUAGGACUCUUCAGAUUGGAGUUCAAUUCCUCAUUCUGCCA